rnacentral:lncRNA from 1 species
GCCACUGCACUCCAGCCUGGCAACAGAGCAAGACUCCGUCUCAAACAAAACACAGCACAACAAAACAAAAAAGAACGAGUUUCAUAGUGAGAAACAGCGGAGAAACCAGCUUACCUGGUGGGCCUUGAGUGGCCCCUACAAACUCCAACCUGUUCAAGACUCAUUUGCCACGUUGUACCUUCCAGCCAAGGCAAUCCCCCCAGCCUGAGCUACUUCCCAGACCAGACCACAGAAGCAAGGCCAUGCUCACCGAGGACCCCACUUGUGGACUAGACUUCUGUCCUGCUGUGGCCUCAAAAGCAAUAGCCAGGGCCCCAUGAUGAAGCUGCCAUCAGAAGCACAGGUGUGCCUGGCAAGGACACAGGAGGACCACGGCUCCAUGCCGAUGAGAAUGGCAGCUAAGUCUGAAGCUUUCUAUGAUUUAGAUUCCUGGUUGCGAGAGGGAGCCUAUAGGAAUGGCGAGAAGAGUGAGAACUUUGCAGAGGCAGCAAGUGGCUAUGGGCUCAGAUCCUCUCUUACUUCAAGGGAUCUGGGCUGGAUGCUUGGGCGCGAGAGAGAAGAAUGGCUCUCAACUGGGCGGGGAAGAGUAGCCCGCAAGGAGGCAGCGGCUCCAGGAUGGGAAGUGAGGAUGCCAAAAAAGCAUCCCUAGGAAGGUUCCUGCCUUUCCACGAGGCUAUGGGGCUUUGAAGGUGGCUAGGACAUCAUGUUAAUGAAGUCAAGACUAUGGCCCCAUCUCUAGAGGCCAAAGCUUGAAACAGCAAAUAGAAAGACCUUUCCAAGCCACUACCCUUAGCAUUGAUGGCAAGGGUCUGGGUGAGAAAAUCCCUCUUGUCCACUAAACGGAAAUCAACUUGAAGCAUGUUGCCAACAGAUAUAUCAGCUUUCUCCAGGAAGAAAUGGCACUGAUGCUCCUAGACUGGAUUUCUCAUCCUCUAAGUCAGGCCUGGCCUUGGAAGCAAAGCCCCCAGGAAUGACUGGAAGACAACACUCUGCAGACCCCUUCCACAGGGUACCCCUGCUCUCCAGGAAGGGCCUUCAGGGCAGCAUUUGGAGGUGGCAUGAGCUAGCAGCGGCGUGCAGCCUGGUCACUGUCUGAUCUGGUCAGCCCAGCCGCACAGAACACCACACAGGCUCUGGCAGCUCCCUGGGAAAGAAGAAAGCAGCAUCUUGCAUGUGUGGCUUAUUCUGAAAGGAAUAGUAUCUGAGGGAUUUGAUGGACUCUGACAGGGGGAAGAAGGUAGUGAAAAAGAUGGAACAAAGAUGCCAUUUAAAAAUACUGGCUCGUGUUCAGGAUUUCGCUAUUUUUUACUGCAAGGAACAAGUAAAAAAAAAAAUCCUCCUAUUGAUGAGUAUUUUUCUACAGUCAUUAAAAGUCAAAGGACUCAGGGCUUCCGACUUUCCCUCUUGGGAAACCUGUAAGCUCGUCUUCUGGACAGCUUAGAAAAGGGCUGGAUGGCGAAGGCGAGAGGCUUAAAGGCCCCCAGCAAGCAGCUCCGCCGAGGAACGGGUGCAGGGGACACACUGUGUUUUCAGUUCAGAUUCUGUGAUCUUUCUGCCAAACAGGGGUUUACAAAGCAAAAACCUCCAGAGAAUUCUCAUACUUUCUGGCUUAUUCUCCUGGUGUUCGUCUUAACAGGAAUCAGCUGUUUGCCUUCUCACUUAUACAGCAUGUUGCUGAGGCGAAUUUAGCAUCUGGCCUGGCUAUUAUUAAAAACAAGAACAUCCUGCUCUGUUGGGAGAACAGCACCACUGGCAAUAAAAGGACAGAGAUCAUUUGCAUUCAGGAUUCCAGAGAUGUGUUUCAGUUCAAUAUCUGCGCUCCCUCCUUCCACCCCUGCUUUCAUUUUAAGAUUUCCUGAUGCAUCCAUCACUUGCAGCGUGGUCAACUUUUUUUCUGAAACAGGCACACACAGGCAGAGCAUAUUUUUUCCUUUCACUGGGAGGCAGGAAUGACUGGAGUUGUUCAAACACCGGUCCGUUCCUGCAAUUCCUAUGAUAAAGUUGAACUACCAGAGGAAUUUUUUUUUUUUUUUUUACAACUGCGGAAAUGAAAAAGUAAACAAGACUGGGACUGCAUUGGUAUUUAGGCUCCAGCUUUUUGUUGUUGUUUUUGUCUUUCCCUUUUUUUAAGCCAUUGGGCUAGGAGCCUGAAGGGACCAUAUAAUAUGAAAAACGCUGAGAGGUUUUAUUAGCCAAUAAAAAAAAAAACUGAGUUCCUAUUAACCACUUAACUCCUUGCUGAAGUUCAAACUUGCUUUCUCCUUGGAUCCUUCUCUCCCUCUCAUGCCCACGAGGAAUGACGGUUGGUUCACCAAUCUUUCCCUGCACAACCUGAGCUCACAGUUUGUGCUCCAGAAGGUGUGGUUGAGAAUCGUAUUCAAUAAUAAUCUCUGUAUUUCUCAUCUGUGAAGCCAUAAAUAAGAUUUCUGUAAGGAGCCAAAUGUUCUACGCCCCCAAAUCUACACACACAAAGACUCUUUAAGCACUCUACUAAAAAAGAGUAAAGUCAUUGUGAUUUCUAGGAUUUUAAAUACUAAAUGAUGGUUAGGGAGAACAAAAUCAGGCUGAAGCAUUUCUGGGAUAAAUAAUGAUCCCACAAAACGCUCCUCUCAUUUGGGGGCAGAAGAAUGAAGGGAAACUCACAGAGAAACAGAAAAUGAAAUUGGUCCAACUAUUUCACUGCUGGAGAUAGAUGGAGUUAGGAUACAUAGGUGACUUGGUUUAGGAAAGAGAGGAUGUCGAAGGUGAUUUAAAUCCUAACACUGUUUUAUUAAUCGUGCCACAAUUCUACAUGUCAUGUGAUUUUGUUAUCUGCUUUUUGCUGCUUUUAAAUAAAUUUGUACUUUUCUAUCAAUCCAUCAUCCAAUUGUGUUUCGGGUGUUCUUGGCAUUCCCAUCUCUCAAAAACACCCUUAGUUUCUGCCAUUAUAUACUGUAUCUCUAAUUCCACGAAGCUCACUCUAUCCUAUUUCCAUUUUCCACAUUCGGGUUAACUCUAGUACUUUUGGUCCUCCCAGAGAAAUUUCCUAAGGCCACAUGAGCCUGUGCGCUUUUGUGUUCUGGUCCCAUUUAAUGUUACUGCUCCAAGAGCUACUCCCUGAAGGGCUUAUGUGGAAGAAUUUUGCCUUUUUGUUAAAAGUAUUUUGCUCUAUGUCCUUGAUUUCUUUAUAAGAAUAGCAGGUGGGGGAAAUUCUUCCCUUUUUAUUGGCUACAGAGUGGGACAGAAUGACCUGGAAAGAAUAGAUAGCAAUCAAGAAGUGAGCUAUGUUUGCAGUGCUAAAACAGGAAGCAAGUUUUGCAGAAAACCCCACUAAGUGGCCUGACAUCAAUGCAACAAGAUAAUAAGAAACGAAUUAAAAGACAUUUUGGUAAAUGUUAAAUGUGUUUCCAGAAAUUUGAUCCCUCUGCUUCCCAAAUGGCUGAGCAUAUCUGAAUAGCAGGGCUGGAUUGAGUCACAAACUUUUGAAUAAUAGCUUUACAAAAAUUACUAAAAACUCCUUAAAUGUUAGCUUCUCCCUGCUCCCUUAAUUGACAUAUCAAGGAGCAUCCAGUGUCCCUUGUCCCAGUAACCUAUUUGAAGACAAGUAAUUGUUUCUUUAUCACUUGUGGGAUAAAGGCAGUACUUUUUUUUUUUUUUGAAGAAUUUGCAGAAAUAAAAAACUGAGGCCAAGAAACACUGUGUCUCCUGAGUACAUGUGCAGGGGUGGUGAGCCCCAUCUUUCUCUGAGUGGGUGGCUGUUCAGGUACCCUUUCCAAACUUCACCCUCCUCCUUCCC